AUUGAACGCUGGCGGCAGGCUUAACACAUGCAAGUCGAGCGGGGGAAGGUAGCUUGCUACCGGACCUAGCGGCGGACGGGUGAGUGAUGCUUAGGAAUCUGCCUAUUAGUGGGGGACAACAUCUCGAAAGGGAUGCUAAUACCGCAUACGUCCUACGGGAGAAAGCAGGGGAUCUUCGGACCUUGCGCUAAUAGAUGAGCCUAAGUCGGAUUAGCUAGUUGGUGGGGUAAAGGCCUACCAAGGCGACGAUCUGUAGCGGGUCUGAGAGGAUGAUCCGCCACACUGGGACUGAGACACGGCCCAGACUCCUACGGGAGGCAGCAGUGGGGAAUAUUGGACAAUGGGGGGAACCCUGAUCCAGCCAUGCCGCGUGUGUGAAGAAGGCUUUAUGGUUGUAAAACACUUUAAGCGAGGAGGAGGCUACUCUAGUUAAUACCUAGGGAUAGUGGACGUUACUCGCAGAAUAAGCACCGGCUAACUCUGUGCCAGCCGCCGCGGUAA
rnacentral:rRNA from 1 species